GCCUAACACUUAGCCCACCCCCCCCCCCCCCCCGUUUCUGUAAACCUAAAGCAUUCUAACCUUCUAGUAGAGGCGAUCGAAAAAUACCCUGGAGCUAUAACACGCGUACCGCAAGGGAAAAGUGAAAUAAUAAUGAAACAUCAAAAAGCACUAAAUAGCAGAGACAAAACCUCGUACCUUUUGCAUCAUGGUUUAACUAGUCUAAUCAAGCAAAAUGAAUUACAGUUUGACCCCCCGAAACCAAGCGAGCUACCUCGAGGCAGCCCCCUGGGGCAAACCCAUCUCUGUAGCAAAAGAGUGGGAAGACCUCCUAGUAGAGAUGACAGAUCUAACGAGCUUGGUGAUAGCUGGUUGCUCAAGAAAAGGAUCUAAGUCCUACCUUAACCCACCCUAAUAUAACCAAAUACCCUCCCACAGUUAAGAGCCAUUCAAACAAGGUACAGCUUGCUUGAACCAGGAUACAACCUACCCCUAAGGGUAACGAGCUCCCGCAAAACAGCCAAGUAGGCCUAAAAGCAGCCACCUUCACAAAUAGCGUCACAGCUUACCCGCUACGCACCCCCAAUAACAAUAAUACCCCCGGAACCCUUAACCCCUAUUGAGCGAUUCUAUACCUGUAUAGAAGUCAUUAUGUUAAAACUAGUAACAAGAGGAUAGCCCCUCUCCUUAAUGCAAGCAUAAAUCAGCAUUGACAAACUACUGAUAAUUAACGUCCCGAGCCCAUAGCAGCAACACACACCAGAAAACCCUACUACAAGCAGCGUUAACCUUACACAAGAGCAUUACAGUGAAAGAUUGAAAGGAGAAGAAGGAACUCGGCAAACCUUAACCCCGCCUGUUUACCAAAAACAUCGCCUCUUGACAAAACAUAAGAGGUCCCGCCUGCCCAGUGACACAGUUUAACGGCCGCGGUAUCUUAACCGUGCGAAGGUAGCGUAAUCACUUGUUCCUUAAAUGGGGACUAGUAUGAAUGGCAUCACGAGGGUUACACUGUCUCCUCCCCCUAAUCAGUGAAACUGAUCUCCCCGUGAAGAAGCGGGGAUAACACUAUAAGACGAGAAGACCCUAUGGAGCUUUAGAUCCGACGGCACAUGUUAACAUACACUUAAUCCCAGGAAACACAACCCAAACUACAUCCCUGCCGCCUACCUUCGGUGGGGCGACCGCGGAGAACAAAACACCCUCCGCACUGAAAAGACACAGUCUUUAACCAAAAGAUACAUCUUUAAGUACCAAUAAAUUGACACCCAUUGACCCAGUCCACUGAUCAAUGAACCAAGUUACCCUAGGGAUAACAGCGCAAUCCAUUUCAAGAGCCCCUAUCGACAAAUGGGUUUACGACCUCGAUGUUGGAUCAGGGUAUCCCAGUGGUGCAGCCGCUACUAAAGGUUUGUUUGUUCAACAAUUAAAACCCUACGUGAUCUGAGUUCAGACCGGAGUAAUCCAGGUCAGUUUCUAUCUAUAAAGAGCCCUCUCCAGUACGAAAGGACCGAGAAGACAUGGCCCAUACUCCCGCAUGCCAUAGCCACAAAACAGUGCACACAACUCAACUGAUACUAGCCUAACACCUUUCCCCAGACCAGGGC
rnacentral:rRNA from 1 species